rnacentral:rRNA from 1 species
UACGUAGGGUGCAAGCGUUGUCCGGAUUUAUUGGGCGUAAAGAGCGUGUAGGCGGUUUGGUAGGUCCGCUGUGAAAACUCGAGCUCAACCUCGAGACGCCGGUGGAAACCAUCAGACUAGAGUCCGGAAGAGGAGAGUGGAAUUCCUGGUGUAGCGGUGAAAUGACGCAGAUAUCAGGAAGAACACCCGUGGCUAAGGCGGCUCUCUAGUACGGUACUGACGCUGAGACGCGAAAGCGUGGGGAGCGAACAGG